rnacentral:rRNA from 1 species
CCUACGGGAGGCAGCAGUGGGGAAUAUUGGGCAAUGGGCGCAAGCCUGACCCAGCAACGCCGCGUGAAGGAAGAAGGCUUUCGGGUUGUAAACUUCUUUUAAGAGGGAAGAGCAGAAGACGGUACCUCUUGAAUAAGCCACGGCUAACUACGUGCCAGCAGCCGCGGUAAUACGUAGGUGGCAAGCGUUGUCCGGAUUUACUGGGUGUAAAGGGUGCGUAGGCGGAAGGUUAAGUCAGCGGUCAAAUGUCGGUGCUCAACACCGGCCUGCCGUUGAAACUGGUCUUCUUGAGUGAGCGAGAAGUAUGCGGAAUGCGUGGUGUAGCGGUGAAAUGCAUAGAUAUCACGCAGAACUCCGAUUGCGAAGGCAGCAUACCGGCGCUCAACUGACGCUGAGGCACGAAAGCGUGGGGAUCGAACAGGAUUAGAUACCCGUGUAGUC